rnacentral:lncRNA from 1 species
GUGAGACUGUGAAUUCUUCAAAAGCAGGUACUGUGUUUAAUGAAGUGUGCCCAGGACUUUGCUCAGUGACUGGAUGACACAGUAGGAGUAACAAGAAAGUUCACAUGGGUGAACCGUGGUAGGUGGACAUCGUCUCUCUCACCUCUUCCCAAAUCAAGGAUGAAGUACAUCUUCAUAAAUCCUCAUGUGAAUUAUUUUGCUACCUCUAGAAGCAUUUUCUAAAACAAGGUGCAGCAAUCAGUUGAGUGAAUUUGUCACCAGAGCUUAUGUUUUCUGAAAGAACCCUAUCCUCAGGCAGUUGUUCCUAAGAGGUGAGUUGUGGAUUUAGUUCACAUACCUUCCUUCGUGGCUUAAAAUGCUCCACAUGCCUGUCUCCCCAACAGCAUCAGAUCACCAUGCAGUAAAAUACCAAGUCAGAACAGCCAAUGCUGAAAAGAGUGACAGUUUCCUUUCAUGAUGCAAUGCACUUGGAGCCAGGGGACAGGGAGACAAUAACUGCAAGGAGAAGUGAUGACAACCCUACUUUAAUAUAGUAGUUCCUUUUGAAUUUUAUAGACUUACCCGUUAAUCUCUAGAAUUUUGAAAAAAUUCCUUAAGUGAUGUGAGCAAAUAACACUUUGCCUUGGGUUAGCCUUUUCCUUUCCCUUGAAGAUUCCACAAAUAUGUCAGCGCUGGAAAUGAUCCUUUGGCUUUGAACUAUGUGAAGACUGCAGAAGGACUGGUUGGUAAGCACCCACAUCCUGGGGUGAGAAUCACAUCCAGUUUAUACCUCCCUGUGCACACUUGUAUAAAACAACUAUAAGACACACGAGAGAUCUGGAAGCCAGUUCCUCAUAAGUAAGAAUUGGUCAGGCUGCAUUUGUAUCCUGGGUCCACAAGACAUCGUUUCCUUAAAACCAAUCCCCCUGAUUUUGCUAAGAUGAAGAAACUGAGGUCCAGAGAAGUUAAACGACCUUCCUAAGAUUACACAGCUUAGUAAGUGGCAGAACCACAGCUGGAAGCCAGGUCCUUCCUCACGCAAGUCCUGGCUCAUUCAUUCCUCUUCCAAAGACUUGCUGAGCACCUUCUAGGUGCCAGAUGCGGUGCUGGCUCCUGGGGACAUGGGAGUGAACAGGCCAGGCGUGGCCCUGAACCAUCAAAUAGACAACCACAGAAAUAACAACAACAAAGACAAAACCGGGCCCUUCCACACAGUAGCUGGAACACAAAGGAAGAUCAGCCAAGCCUCAACAUAAUCUCAUAAAAAUUCUUCAAAUAUCCCAUUGUUAUGGAUUCAUACAUCAGGAAAGCAGAUGCCAAGAACCUGAACACCUUCUACUGGUAACAUAUAUUUUGGCGAGCCAGCCUGGAGACAAGACCACUAUGGGCAACUUCCUGUCUAUUCUACCUGGUGUCACUGUGGACAACUUCCUAUCUAUUCCACCCGAUUCACCGCUUGGCUACAUCCUCCACCAUUGGGAUGAAUUUGACCCUAACAAUCUAAAGAAAAGGCAUAUGAUUUUUUACUGCAAUAUUGUUUGACACAAUUAUGAGCUGCCCAAUCCGGAACAAUGGGCAGUCAAUGGUAGCCUUAAUUAUGAUACCAUCCUGUAUCUAGACCUAUUUUACAAGAGGCAGGGCAAAUGGUCAGAAGUCCCACAUAUACAGGCCUACAUGACCCUAUACGAAGACCUAAGAAUCUAGGAAACUCCCAGAACCCAUCCCCCGAAGGAAAGUUCUGGGGCAGAACUAGAUAUUAUAGAUGAACCCCCUUUUACAAGGGAUACCUGUCUCUCAGAGUGAGCAGUGACUGUCCCCAUAUAACCCCUCACCAAGUGCUCCUGAGGCUGAAACCCAGGGGCAAACAUGGGGAACCCUACUAAGUCCCCCUCACACUUGGAGGGGAACACUGUAUUCAACUCUCUAUCCAGCCCUGCUACUCUCAGAGAAAUAGCAGGGGCUGAGGGGCCAAUCCUAGUGUGGGUCCCCUUCUCUAUGAUUGAUAUACAACAAUGUAAGGAAAAGCUAGGAAGCUAUUCUGAGGAUUCCGGGAAGUUUGCAGAUGGGUUCCAAACUUUGACCUUAGCCUUUGAUCUCUCAUGGAGAGACGUUCAAUUCACUCUAGCAACCUGUUGCACCUCCUCGGAAAAGGAACGAAUCUUUGAGGCUGCCCUCCGAGAAGUGGACGAAUUAUUCACCCAAAACCGUAAAGGCAGUCACCCAGGCCCAGCCACAGUUCCCACUACGCAUCCUAAUUGAGACCAAGACACCCCCGCAGGAAGGAACAACUGGGCUAAAUUUCUUGAGGCUCUUGGAGGAAUGAGAAAGGGAAUAACUAAGGCAGUAAAUUAUGAUAAAGUAAGGCAGAUUACACAAGGCAGGGAGGAAAACCCAGCUGUGUUUUACGGCAGGCUGCGGGAAGCCUUUAAAAAAUAUAUACUAAUUUGGUCCCUUCCUCUCCUGAAGGCAAGUUAUUAAUGGCACAACGUUUCAUUAGCCAAUCCACACCAGACAUUAGACGUAAGCUCCAAAAGCUACACAUGGGGCCACAAACUAACCAAAAUCAGCUUCUUGGUACUGCCUUCAUGGUGUAUAACAAUCGUGACCUGGAGGAAGGAGAAGGGAAACAGAGUAAAGAAAAACGGCAAGCCAAAAUUAUGUUAGCCAUCACUGGUGAUGCCCUAAAUGCACAAAGAUUGUCCAAGGGAAACUCAAAGGGCCAUAAGGAUAAUGCCAGCAAAGGCUCUUGCUUCAAAUGCAAUAAAAGUGCGAUUGGGCACAGGAAUCCACUAAGCCCCCGCCAGUCCCCUGCCGUCAAUGUAAAAGCACCAGUUGUGGCUCCUGGCCCUGGAGAAUUGACUGUCCCUGCUCCCACCAAGGGGCUCAGUCAGUCAAAACUCUGGCAGUGCACAAGGAGGAAUCAGAUGAAGACUGAAGGGGCCUGGGGCCUUCCUCACUGCCCCGUCUAGGAACAUUGUAAUUACUACUGAGGAACCCUGGGUAACUCUGGACAUCAUGGCCACCCAAAUUCAGUUUUUAUGUGAUACCAAGGUGAAUUAUUCUGUACAACUGCUUAUGCAGGAAAACUUUCCUCCCGGUCCAUGAGUGAUAUUGGAUGGAAGGGAAGCCACAAACAAGAUUCUUACUCCUCCUUUGGUUUGUCAAUUUGAGAAACAAAUCUUCCAACAGGAAUUUUUAGUAGUACCAAGCUGCCCAAUUCCCCUGUGGGAAAGAGAUAUUAUGGUGAAAAUAGUGACACUACUGCAAUUUAAGCAAUAUUAGCAGGUGAAACUGCUAAUAGUAAGAAAUAAGGCAAUGUCCCAGACCAUGUCAAUAAACAGGUUAACCCACUGGCAUGGUAUACUGGAAACCCAGGGAAGGCUAAAACAGCAGUGCCAGUCAAAAUACAGCUUAAAGACCCCAGCCAUUUUCCCAAUGGAAAACAAUACCCAGUUGAACAGGAAGCAAGCAAAGGUCUAGCUCCCAUAGUUGAGAUAUUACUUACCCAUGGACUCUUAAAACCCUGCAAUUCUCCCUGCAAUACCCCCAUCUUACCUGUUCUCAAGCCUGGGGGGAAUACCAGCUAGUACAGAACCUCAGAAUAAUGAAUGAGGCUGUUAUCCCCGUCCACCCAUUGGUGGCAGAUCCAUAUGCCCUCCUGGCUCAGGUGCCAGGGCAUGCAAAAUGGUUCUCAGUCCUAGACCUUUCUUCUCCAUUCCUCUGGCCCCGAGCCCCCCAGUACCUUUUUGCUUUCGAAUGGGAAAAUCCUAAUACCAGAUAAAAACAAUACACUUGGACAGUGCUUCCUCAGGGCUUUCGGGAUAGCCCCCACUUCUUUGCCUGAGCAUUAGAGCGGGAUCUGAGGGAUUUCAAGUUAGAAAAUGGAGGUAUUCUUCAGUAUGGGGAUGACCUUGUGUGUAGCCCAACCUAGGAGGUUUCUGACCAAAAUACUAUAAAAACUUUGAAUUUCCUGGCAGACAGAGGAUACAAAGUGUCCAAAAAGAAGGCUCAGAUUACCCUCCAAUGGGUCCACUAUUUAGGAUAUGUCUUAACACCCGGAACCCGGCAAAUAUCCCCAGAAGGAGUGCAAGCUAUAUGUGGUUUGGCCGCGUGCACCACCCCCAGCCCCCACCCUGACCCACCUCCAAGCAGCAGCUUUGUUCCUUUUUGGGGAUGGCCGGGCUUUGGAGAAUAUGAGUACCAAAUUUUGGGCUCAUAGCAAAGCCCCUAUAUGAAGCAACAAGGGGGCCUGAAAAUGAGCUAAUGGAAUGGACCCCGGAAAUGAGGAAAGCCUUUGCCAAGUUAAAACAGGUUCUCACCCAGGCUCCUGCUCUUGGUAUCCCAGACCUAAUUAAGGCCUUCUCCUUGUAUGUAGCAGAGAAGAGGGGCAUAGCUGUGGGAGUGCUAGCCCAGAAAUUAGGAUCAGAACCCAGACCAACCGCCUACUUCUCAAAAAAGUUGGACGGAGUGGCCUCAGGAUGGCCAAGUUGCCUGCGGGCAAUAGCAGCCACUGCUGUUAGUGGAGGAAGCCACUAAAAUCACCCUAGGGCAACCACUGGAAGUUCUAACGCUCCAUCAGGUAAAGUUAGUCUUAGAAAUAAAGGGACACAUCUGGAUGACAGGGGAAAUGUUAACUAAAUACCAGCCCAUGCUCCUAGACAAUCCAGAUAUAACUCUUAAAACCUGCAACACUUUAAAUCCAGCUUCAUUGCUGCCCACAGGCCCAAUAAUUGAUCAUUCCUGUGAGCAGGUCAUUGCACAUACAUAUGUUAGCCAGCCUGAUUUAAAAGAUGAGGCUCUCCCAGAUUCUGAAGCUGACCGGCUCACAGACGGCAGUAGUUCUUUGUCGAAUGGGGAGCACAGAGCUGGAUAUGCAGCAGUAAAUCAUGACACAAUUAUUGAAGCCCAGCCAGUGCCCCCUGGCACAUCAGCACAAAAGGCUAAAAUCAUUGAUCUUACUCAAGCAUUAAUGUUGGGACAAGGGAAAAAACUUAACAUCUAUACAGAUUCUAAAUAUGCAUUCCUUGUGGUUCAUGCUCAUACCGCCAUCAGGAAAGAAAGGGGAUUACUUACUAGCAAGCACUCCCCUAUAGAGCAUGGACCUGAAAUUCUGCAGCUAUUGAAGGCAAUACACCUGCCAAAGGCCAUAGCUAUCAUUCAUUGUAGGGGGCAUCAAAGGGACUUAACCCCUAUAGCACAAGGGAAUGGAAAGGCUGACGGAAGCCAAAGCAAAAGCCCUCAGCGUGCAAUCCCAACAGAUCCUAGCACUGCUUCCUUUCUACAAUUCCCCAGUAGAACCCAAAUACACACCACAGGAAGAACAGCUAAUAAAAAAAGCAAGGGAGACAAAAACAAGGAUCCUGGUGGCAUAUGGAGCCAAAAAUAUAUCUCCCUCAGGCAGCCCAGUGGAGAGUUAUAAAAGCCCUGCAUGACUCUUUCCAUGUGGGGAGGGAUGCGGCUCUGGCCAUGGUAAACAAGUUCUUUACUGGGUUUAACUCAGCUUCAAUGGCUAAGCAGGUCUGUCAAGCCUGCUCACUGUGUGCAUUUAACAAUCCAGGCAUCAAAAUGCCCCCUCUAAUAAAACCAGUCCAAAGGAGGGGAACUUAUCCAGGGGAAGACUGGCAGUUAGACGUCAUCCAUAUGCCAGCUUGCAGAGGAUACAAGCUUUUGUUAAUACUAAUAGAUACUUUUAGGUUGGGUCAAAGGUUACCCCAGAAAAGGCUAAUGAGGUUCUAAGGUCCUCUUAAAAGAAAUAAUUCCCCAGUUUGGGUUACCUCAGGGUCUCCAAAGUGAUAAUGGCUAAUCCUUUAUCUCCCAAAUAACUCAAGGGGUUGCUAAGGCUCUUGGAAUAAAAUACUAUUUACAUUCAGCCUGGAGGCCCCAAUCCUCUGGAAAAGUGGAAAGGGUUAACCAAACUCUAAAAUAAGCACUAGCUAAACUAUGUCAGGAAACAUCAGAAACUUGGGUUAGCUUAUUGCUCACAGCCCUUUUAAGAAUUUGUAAUACCCCUAGCUCAAAAAUUAACAGAAGCCCAUAUAAAAUGUUAUACAGAAGGCCAUUCUUAACUAAUGAUUUAAUUAUUGACCCAGAAAGAGUUGGUGUAAUUAAAUACCUAGUCAACCCAGAACAAUUCCAGCGGGUUUACAAGAGUUUGGAAUUCAAAGGCUCCUCACACUUGGAACUAACCAGCAACCCAAAAUCAGGCCAGGAGAUAGGGUACUUGUUAAAACAUGGAAUGAGGGAUCACCUGCCCAACAAUUACAACCCCAAUAGAAGGGACUUUUUUCAGUAAUACUGGCCACGUCUUCUGUGGUCAAAGUACUAGUAUUAGAUAGCUGGAUACAUCUUUCAAGGAUCAAACCAUCAAUACCAGAAGCUCCAGACCAGGAACCUGAAGUUCCCAUCAGCCAGUACACCUGUGAACCAGUGGAGGACCUGAAGUACCUGUUUAAAAGAUAGCCAAAAGAUAAGUAAAUGCCUACCAACUUUCUUUGGUGUCUUUGUUGCAUAGUUACUGUGGGCUGGAAAAUAGUAGCCAUUUUUAUCUUUGCAGUUUAAUUGCCUUCUUCCAAAUAGAUAAAAAUCACUUCCUUUGUAAUAAUUAAACAGAAUUUAAAAAAUACAUUUCUAUGACAAAUAUUCCUGAUGGCAUAAGUAUCCACCCCAAGGUUCCCAUUAAAUCUUUUAACCUAAAGUAUUUCCUCUCACCUAGAGAUCAUCGAGCUGUGUGACAAGGGUGCCAGCCACUCCAGGUGAAGACACCACCCCAGGCCAUCAAGGAUCUUCCCUACCUUCACUAAACAGAGCAGGGUGAAAGUUGUGUGAUCCCCAAUAGGUAGGGACUACACCCCAAGUCAGCAGGAAGCAGUUACAGAAGAAAGACCAUUGGUCCCUCUGCUUCCCAUAAAGAUUUAUGGGGAUCACAGCUUUCACGGGGGAGAUGAGGCAAGAGAAUAGGGCAUGCAGGCAGGGUACUUGAGGCCAAUCCACGCUGACUUCCUAGAACUGAAUUAAAUGAAAGCUCCUCAGCAAUGACAGGAAUGUGAAUGGCUUUGUAACUUCUUCCUCUCCAUUAAUGCUAUUUCCACUUUGUAACUUCACUUUCAUCCUCUCCAUUUACAUAGAUCACACACCAAGUAACAUCCUCUCCAUUUACAGUAGGGCGCAUUCCGAGUCAAUGACUCUGACUGCACUUCGUUCUCCUCAUUUACAUAGAACAUUCGCCAAGUAACCAAUGGGAAACCUCUAGAGUAUUGAAACUCCAGAAAAUUCCGUAAGUGGGGCUCUUGAGCGUCUACACUCGGGUCGCUCCCACACUGUGGCGUGUACUUUUAUUCUCAAUAAAUUCCCGCUUUUGCUUUCCUCGUUC